CACUCACUGCUGGAGCUCUCAAAACACGCGCAUGCAGAUCGCAGCCGACGCUCAGUUUGGAGUUUAUCGACACGGACUGCCGAGAAAAUAGCUUAUGAAAGACUCGAGCGCGAGUAGCAGCUCUCACACUUACAGCGAAGUGUGUUUAUCGACUAAGAGUUGACUGAAGGUGACUUUGAGUUCGUUGUUGUGGUUGGACUGGAGAGAGUGAUCCAGCGACUGAUCCUGGACUCGCUGUUAUGGCAGCAACCCACAUCGAAAAUGAAUACUUUACACUAAAUUAAUGGUUUUGGUCUGCUUGUGCCACUCCGGUCUUCUCAGCUUUCUAAACCACAGCAUCAGCAGGGGCCUCUGCGUUCCCAGAAACUGAGCUCCACGCGACCAAAACCGACUUUGUUACCCUGAAAAGGCUGUGGAAACUUAAGAACGAAAAACCGGAAGGCAAUUUAUAAGGUGAAAUAGAUUUUCCAUUUCUCCGGCCUUCCGUGUCCAUAACCAAACGGAGAGCUGAAGUCUGCUGAUUUUAAUGACAUGAUUGUUGGAGAAGCACGGAUAUCUGGAUGCUUGUGGAUCCUUCAGACGUCUGGCUGUCACCUCCCCCGACUGUAGCAUUACCGAAAGAGAGGAUUCUGGGAUAGGUUCAUGCCGUGGUUGCGCCGCUGUAUGGAGGUGUAAGGGAGGAGCAGGACUCGUGUGGGACGCUGGUGGAGUACUGGCUGGUGGAGAUCAUGGG